rnacentral:rRNA from 1 species
GAUGAACGCUGGCGGCGUGCCUAAUACAUGCAAGUCGAGCGAACGGACGAGAAGCUUGCUUCUCUGAUGUUAGCGGCGGACGGGUGAGUAACACGUGGAUAACCUACCUAUAAGACUGGGAUAACUUCGGGAAACCGGAGCUAAUACCGGAUAAUAUUUUGAACCGCAUGGUUCAAAAGUGAAAGACGGUCUUGCUGUCACUUAUAGAUGGAUCCGCGCUGCAUUAGCUAGUUGGUACGGUAACGGCUUACCAAGGCAACGAUGCAUAGCCGACCUGAGAGGGUGAUCGGCCACACUGGAACUGAGACACGUUCCAGACUCCUACGGGAGGCAGCAGUAGGGAAUCUUCCGCAAUGGGCGAAAGCCUGACGGAGCAACGCCGCGUGAGUGAUGAAGGUCUUCGGAUCGUAAAACUCUGUUAUUAGGGAAGAACAUAUGUGUAAGUAACUGUGCACAUCUUGACGGUACCUAAUCAGAAAGCCACGGCUAACUACGUG